UGCCAGGGGGCAGCUUACCAUGCAAGUCGAGCGGGGAGAGUAGCUUGCUACUUUACCUAGCGGCGGACGGGUGAGUAAUGCUUAGGAAUCUGCCUAUUAGUGGGGGACAACAUUCCGAAAGGGAUGCUAAUACCGCAUACGUCCUACGGGAGAAAGCAGGGGACCUUCGGGCCUUGCGCUAAUAGAUGAGCCUAAGUCGGAUUAGCUAGUUGGUGGGGUAAAGGCCUACCAAGGCGACGAUCUGUAGCGGGUCUGAGAGGAUGAUCCGCCACACUGGGACUGAGACACGGCCCAGACUCCUACGGGAGGCAGCAGUGGGGAAUAUUGGACAAUGGGGGAAACCCUGAUCCAGCCAUGCCGCGUGUGUGAAGAAGGCCUUAUGGUUGUAAAGCACUUUAAGCGAGGAGGAGGCUACCUAGAUUAAUACUCUAGGAUAGUGGACGUUACUCGCAGAAUAAGCACCGGCUAACUCUGUGCCAGCAGCCGCGGUAAUACAGAGGGUGCGAGCGUUAAUCGGAUUUACUGGGCGUAAAGCGUGCGUAGGUGGCUAAUUAAGUCAAAUGUGAAAUCCCCGAGCUUAACUUGGGAAUUGCAUUCGAUACUGGUUAGCUAGAGUAUGGGAGAGGAUGGUAGAAUUCCAGGUGUAGCGGUGAAAUGCGUAGAGAUCUGGAGGAAUACCGAUGGCGAAGGCAGCCAUCUGGCCUAAUACUGACACUGAGGUACGAAAGCAUGGGGAGCAAACAGGAUUAGAUACCCUGGUAGUCCAUGCCGUAAACGAUGUCUACUAGCCGUUGGGGUCUUUGAGACUUUAGUGGCGCAGCUAACGCGAUAAGUAGACCGCCUGGGGAGUACGGUCGCAAGACUAAAACUCAAAUGAAUUGACGGGGGCCCGCACAAGCGGUGGAGCAUGUGGUUUAAUUCGAUGCAACGCGAAGAACCUUACCUGGGCCUUGACAUAGUAGAAACUUUCCAGAGAUGGAUUGGUGCCUUCGGGAAUCUACAUACAGUGCUGCAUGGCUGUCGUCAGCUCGUGUCGUGAGAUGUGGGGUAAGUCCCGCAACGAGCGCACCUUUUCUUAUUUGCCAGCGAGUAUGUCGGGACUUAGAUACUGCCAGUGACAACUGAGGAGGCGGGACGACGUCAGUCAUCAUGCCUUACGACAGGCUACACUGCUACAUGGUCGUUAAAAGGUGUCUACCCUAAGCGAUUAGGU
rnacentral:rRNA from 1 species